GAUGAACGCUGACGGCGUGCUUAACACAUGCAAGUCGAACGGAAAGGCCCUGCUUUUGUGGGGUGCUCGAGUGGCGAACGGGUGAGUAACACGUGAGUAAACUGCCCUUGUCUUUGGGAUAACUUCAGGAAACUGGGGCUAAUACCGGAUAGGAGCUCCUGCUGCAUGGGGGGGGUUGGAAAGUUUCGGCGGUUGGGGAUGGACUCGCGGCUUAUCAGCCUGUUGGUGGGGUAGUGGCUUACCAAGGCUUUGACGGGUAGCCGGCCUGAGAGGGUGACCGGCCACAUUGGGACUGAGAUACGGCCCAGACUCCUACGGGAGGCAGCAGUGGGGAAUAUUGCACAAUGGGCGGAAGCCUGAUGCAGCAACGCCGCGUGCGGGAUGACGGCCUUCGGGUUGUAAACCGCUUUCGCCUGUGACGAAGCGUGAGUGACGGUAAUGGGUAAAGAAGCACCGGCUAACUACGUG
rnacentral:rRNA from 1 species